rnacentral:misc_RNA from 1 species
AAGUCGUAACAAGGUUUCCGUAGGUGAACCUGCGGAAGGAUCAUUACUAAAUCCAAUCCAUUAACAACCUGUUGAACUGUGUUUUUGUGGCCAAAUCCACAAAAAUAAUAUAUAUACCAUGAGACACCAAUGACAGUUAUUUUAUUGAUACAAUAUAAAGCAUAACUUUUAACAAUGGAUCUCUUGGCUCUU